CCUAAAAAAGCUGAAACAACAACAAAAAAGUAGAGUUACUCAUGGGGACCUGAGGUGUACUCAACACUCCUGGAACACAAAGUGAAUUUUCACAAGGAAAAGCUCAAGGAAAUGUCUUUAAAUCGUGCCCAUCAUGCCAGUCAUCAUGACAAACCUAUUUUUUAUUAUCGUUUAUACUGUGGUAAAAUAUAUACAACAGCAUUUACCACAUAAGCCAUUUUAUUUGUUUAUCUAGAAUCCAGAAUUUUAAAAAAAUGUUUAAAGAUUUUUCUUUUUUUAAACUUAAAUCAACUUAUUGAAGAUUUUUAUUUUUUCCAUUAUAGUUGAUUUACAGUGUUCUGUCCAUUUCUACCGUACAAAUAGUGACCCAAUCAUACAUAUAUACAUGUAUUCUUUUUCUCACAUUCUCCUCCAUCAUGUUCCAUCACAAGUGACUCGAUACCCCGUUCCCAGUGCUACACAGCAGGAUCUCAUUGCUUCUCCACUCCAAAUGCUGUAGUUUGCAUCCACUAACCCCAGACUCCCCCUCCAUCCCACUCCCUCCCUCCCUCACCCCUUGGCAACCACCAGUCUGUUCUCCAAGUCCAUGAGUUUCUUUUCUGUGGAAAGGUUCAUUUGUACCGUAUGUUAGAUUCCAGCUAUAAGUGAUAUCAUAUGGUAUUUGUCUUUCUCUUUCUGACUUACUUCACUUAGUAUGAGAGUCUCUAGUUCCAACCAUGUGGAUGCAAAUAUUUUUUCUAUUAUUGUUGAUUUACAAUGCACUGUCGAUUUCUGCUAUAAUGUGAGCCAUUUCAUUUGGUGACAUGUAGUACAUUCCUGAUAUCAGGCAACCACCAUCUCUAUCUCGUUCUGACGAUUUUCAUCACCCCCCAAAGAAAAUCCAGCGUCCAUUAAGCAGUCACUCCUUAUUUCCCUCUCUUUCCAGCUCCUGGCAACUACUAAUCUGCUUUCUGUCUCUAUGGAUUUGCUUAUUCUGGAUAUUUCAUAUCAGUGGAAUAUGUGAUCUUCGUGUCUGGCUUCUGUCACUUCGCAGCACAUUUUCAGGGUUCAUCUAAGUUGUCUUGCAUGCACGCAUGCUCUGUUCCUUUCUCCAGCUGAAAGACAUUCCAUUGUAGGGCUAUGCUCUGUUUUACUUAUCGCUCCGUCAAUUGGACGAGCCUAUUUUUAAGCUUCUCUUAUCCAAAAAGUAAGCAGUGUUUACCUGGGAACACCGGUAAAAAGUUAAGCAUUCCAAAAUGUUUGUCUUGGAGUAAUUUCAGAUUUACAAAAGUGUAUCAGGAUUGUACAAAUGCUAUAGGGGUAGAGUAGGAGAGUCUUAGAAGUCCCAGUGGGGGGCCAUAGACAAAGAGGGAAACCUAGGGGCCUUGGGGAGAACAGGGUCAGUUAAUAAUUGCACAAGAAGUGAAGCAGGCUUGCUGAACUAUAAAACCAUCAAGAAAACACAAGAUCUGCCUCAGGUCAUUACAUGAAAGAUAAAAGGAGCCCUGCGUUCAAGUUCAGCCAGAAAAGGAUCCUUAGAAGCAAGGACAGAAACUUUGGGGGAAGGUGACCUUCCAAAGUAGGAAACUCUCAUUAUAUGGAAACCUGAGAUGAUCCAACAAAGUUUAGUCUCUGUUACACCUUUUUGCUGAUCUGAAUAAGCACCAGGACUGUCCUAGUUUGACCUCAUAGGGCCAGAUACUCUCUUACCUGAUAACAAGGAGGAGCUAAUGAGGUAAGCCUGGCAUCCCCCAGAAGAACGAGGAAGAAGGGGGGCUUUUCCCUCCCCCCACUUUCCUAAUCCUCAGGGCAGAACCUCCCUGCCUGCCUGCUUGUAUCCCUCACAAGCAUCAAUACAUCUAUUUCCUGCCUAUCACUUUGUCUCUCACUGAAUUCCUUCUGCACUGAGCCGCAAAGAACCUGAGCCUCAGUGAGUCCAGACGCCAGGUGAGGGAUUCUAAUUUGAAUACCAUGGGUUCCAUCCCAAUCUGGGUUUUAUCUGGGUUCGAGUCGAAGGUGUGUCCAUUUUGCAGACACGCUCCGUAUUACACACCCUUUCCUGCCUCCUGUUCCCUCCGUCGUUAAUAGCUGACAUCACCAGGUCCAUUGAUUACAACUCAGAAACAGACGCUGGCACUUUGCUCUUAACUAAAUUCCAGACUUCAUUUGGAUCUCGCCCGUUUUCUGUUAAUGCCCUCUUUUUUGUGCAGUAUCCAAUCCAGGGUACCACUGAGGCAGAAUAUUAACGCAGGCAGUCAGUGUGGGAGCAUGGGCUCCGGUGCAUUCUUUGCUAUGGCCCCUGAUUAACAUGUGUGGCUUAAGGGCUCUAGGGAGCAACAUCCCCUCAGGCCUUGUUUACUGUAGGGAGUGUAUCUACACCCAGAGGGACUUUCAUCCCUAAUCCCCCGUGACUCAGUUUACGGGAAGAAAAGGGCGAAGAAACUAUGAGACUGAGGGGACAUUUCCACCCCUAAGACCCUAUUGGACAAGGACGGAUAUGGGCAAUUGAACAAGGCCAACGUGAGAAAACCACAGUUUUCUGGACCCCACGUUGGUACCCCCCCUCCCAGCUUUAAGGAAAAAAAAAAACCUUAUAGGACAAUAGAGAAAGGAGGGCUCUUCUCUCCCCUCCCGGCAGCCCUGGGAGCUCUCCGCUUUCCUUUAAUAAAGACUUUGCUUGCUUGCUGCCUGUGUGUUCACGGACUCCAUUCUUCGACAGCUGUGAACAAGAACCUGGAUUCUGGUAUCAUCUUUCCAGUAUCACCACAUUGCAUUUAAUUGUCAUGAGUCCCCAGUCCCCGAUGGUCUGUGACACUUUUUCACUCUUUAUUUUUAUGACCCUGAUAGUCUUGCGUCUACAGGCCAGGUAUCCUGCAGAGAGUUCCCAGGUUUACUGGAUGCUUUUUUUCAUGAUUACAUUGGAGGGGUUUUUUUGGAAGGUGUGGGGUGGGGCUUGUUAUCCAGAUAAAUUUCCACUGGGAAUAACUUUACCUAUAAAGAUGUGACCCCUUAGGAGUUUAAAGAGGGCAUUAACUUGUCUUUUUCUUCUUUCAAAUGCUUUUUUUUUUUUUUUUUUUUUUUUUGGUCUUUUUAGGGCUGCACCUGCCACAUAUGGAAGUUCCCAGCCUAGGGGUCGAAUCGGAGCUACAGAUGCCGGCCUACACCACAGCCAGGCAGGAUCCGAGCCGCUGUCUGUGACCUACACCACAGCUCACAGCAGUGCUAGAUCCUUUAACCCACGGAGUGAGGCCAGGGAUCAAACCUGGCCUCAUGGAUACUAGUCGGGUUCAUUAACCACUGAGCCACUCUCGACGGGAACUCCUGAGUGAUUGCAGAUGCUAUCCAGUUUACCUCCUCACAGGCUCUGCCGAUAGUUAGAGCCCAUUUUACACGUGCCUUGUGAGUGGCAGGGAGCAGAUUCUGUCCCAGAAGCUGAUACCAUGAUCUGUCGGAGACUCCGCAGGCACAUCGCUGACGGGCUUGUUGACAAAUUGGUUUGGGCUGCUAACAAAUUGGUUGGGCCAAGGGCAUGUUCAACUGUACCCUCAGUUCCCCCGCGGAAGAGUCUCAAUAUCAUCUAAUUAGGUAACAUGGUAACUGGGCAACCAUUACUUAUAAUAGACAUGGAGUUGUAAAUUUUUCUACUUAAUUAAGAACUGCUCCCUUCUUAUUAGAGAAAAGCUUAUCAUAGGUUAGUAAAUUUAUUGGGAACACUUAACUUGAGCUAAUUAAGCUGUUUGAACUCAAGGAAGGGCAUUCAUUAAUAAUCUAGCCCAAGCAGUUAAGGGCAAUUAGGGAAACAGCUGGGCUUUAUCUCACUGAUAAAGGAUGGUUAAUAGAGAUAUUUACAGCUGUUAUAAACUUCCCCAAAGCAAUAUCCUCUUCAAAAGCUGGCAUUAGUUAAGAACACAGAAGAAGGAACUCAAUUUAAAAGGAUGGAGUUGGGGCUCCCAGCCCCAAGCAGGAGGGGUAGAAGGAAGGUGGAAUCCAGCUGCUGGCCCCAUUCACAGUCUGAUCUGUCAGCCACAGGUGUCUAGCCCCCACUGGAAUCUUGGCUGCCGGAGGAGCAAAGGGCAAGGAUUGGCCAUCUAUAUAUGCAGAGGUCCUCUUUUCUGAAAGCAAAAGGGAGAAAUGUGGUUUGAUAAAGUGUUUGCUUUUUUUCUCCCUGAUCUGUGGAUGUCUUUAUACAGAACGUCUCACAGAGUUCCCCUUUUUAAAUGACAUUGACUUAACAUUCUUCUUUUCAACUGAAGUCUAAGGCAUUGACUCUUGUGUAAAGCCCACAUCAGGAUUUGUCUGCCAUCGCCUCCCGGUGUUGUUUAACUUGUUCUUCUGUUCCUUGCAUUUCCUGGAAACUAGAAGUUUCCUUUGGAGCCUUGAGUAGAUUGAAGUGAAACAAGAUCUGUGAAAGCAAUGCCAUGUAUUCCACAUCAUGUGAGGCCAGAAGGGCAUAAAUGUCUCUUUGUUCCUCUCUUGGCGAAGCUGCUCUUGAGCCCUGGGCUAAAGAGCUAACUCCAAACCUCUCCCUCAUAAAAGUACAUUUCCUCCUCUGGAACUGGUACCCAAUAUAUGGGCUGCUCCCUGGCACCCCCCCCUUUUUUUUUUUGCUUUGAAGGGCUGCAACCCUGGCGUAUGGAAGUUCCCAGGCUAGGGGUGGAAUUGGAGCUACAGCAGCAGGCCUACACCACAGCCACAGCAACGUGGGAUCCAAGCUGUGUCUGUGAACUACACCACAGCUCACAGCAAUGCUGGGUUCUUAGCCCACUGAGUGAGGCCAGGCACUGAACCUGCAUCCUCAUGGAUACUAGUUGGGUUCAUUACCAAUGAACUCUGGGCUGCUCCCUUUAUCUACAAUGCUUCUCCCAUUGUGAGGCGACCAUUGACUGAAACUGCCCACCUUAGCCAGGCACGAUCAUAUCUGUUUGCAUGAGCUGUUUCAUGACAGGAGGCCCUGAUUCGUAACAGGGUGCAGCCCUGAAGACUAACCAGGAGGAUGUGGGAGGGGCCAAUAGGAGGGAGGAGAUGACCAACCUCCCAGGAUCCUUAGCGCUGGAAUCCAUCUUGGCUGAGAAGUACCUGUACCUCCAAAGGGGUCCUGGGCCAGACCAAGUAAGGGCUAAGCAAGAUGACUGGCCAGAGACUACCCAGAAACCAACCCCCUUUCCAUAAAACCCGAGGCUUCUGAGUCACGUGGCAGAGCAGUUCUCCUGAGUUCUCUCACCCUGUGGCUCUCCACCCGGGCUCCCCUUCCCAAUAAAAUCUCUUCCUCUGUCAGCACAUGUGUCUCCUCGGAUAGUUCAUUUCCCAGUGUUAGGCAAGAGCCCGCGCUCAAGUCCUGGAAGGGGCCCCCUUCCGGCAACUCCAUGGCUUCCCUGUGCUUGGUGUGUUCUCAUCAUUCUGGCCUCUAUUCAAGUGUCACCUUCUCUCACUGGGGGCUAGACAUCUGCUCUUGGGUGACCUGCAAGGCCUUGUGUGCUCUGGCCUUGGCUGACUCUUGAACUCAUCUUAAAAAAAAAAAAAAAAGUUCCUCUCAUGGUUCAGCAGGAAUGAACUGGACUAGUAUCCCUGAGGAUGUGGAUUCGAUCCCUGGCCUCACUUAGUGGGUUAAGCAUCUGGUGUUGCCAUGAGCUCUGGAGUAGGUUGCAGAUCCGGCUUGGAUCCCGAGUGGCUGUGGCUGUGGCUGUGGCCAGCAGCUCUGAUUCGAUCCCUAGCCUGAGAACUUCAAUAUGCUGCAGGUGUGACCCUAAAAAG
rnacentral:lncRNA from 1 species